CCCUUAGAUGCUCUGGGCCGCACGCGCGCUACACUGGUCGAUGCAACGAGUUUCUUUCCUUGGCCGACAGGCCUGGGCAAUCUUUGAACAUCGAUCGUGAUCGGGAUAGAUUCUUGUAAUUUUUGAUCUUAAACGAGGAAUUCCUAGUAAACGCAAGUCAUCAGCUUGCAUUGAUUACGUCCCUGCCCUUUGUACACACCGCCCGUCGCACCUACCGAUUGAAUGGUCCGGUGAAAUCUCCGGACUGGCGUGAGUCGGAGCAAUCUGACAAACACCGGAAAGUUGAUUAAACCUUACCAUUUAGAGGAGGGUGAAGUCGUAACA
rnacentral:rRNA from 1 species